rnacentral:rRNA from 1 species
GACGUAGGGCGCGAGCGUUGUCCGGAUUUAUUGGGCGUAAAGAGCUCGUAGGCGGCUUGUCGCGUCGACUGUGAAAACCCGCGGCUCAACUGUGGGCGUGCGGGCGAUACGGGCAGACUGGAGUACUGCAGGGGAGACUGGAAUUCCUGGUGUAGCGGUGGAAUGCGCAGAUAUCAGGAGGAACACCGAUGGCGAAGGCAGGUCUCUGGGCCGCAACUGACGCUGAGGAGCGAAAGCAUGGGGAGCGAACAGG